rnacentral:rRNA from 1 species
UACGAAGGGGGCUAGCGUUGCUCGGAAUGACUGGGCGUAAAGGGCGCGUAGGCGGAAUGCUUUGUCGGGCGUGAAAUUCCAGGGCUCAACCUUGGGGCUGCGUUCGAGACGGGUGUUCUAGAGUUUGGAAGAGGGUCGUGGAAUUCCCAGUGUAGAGGCGAAGUUCGUAGAUAUUGGGAAGAACACCGGUGGCGAAGGCGGCGACCUGGUCCUUGACUGACGCUGAGGCGCGAAAGCGUGGGGAGCAAACAGG